rnacentral:rRNA from 1 species
UCGAGCGAACGGACGAGAAGCUUGCUUUUCUGAUGUUAGCGGCGGACGGGUGAGUAACACGUGGAUAACCUACCUAUAAGACUGGGAUAACUUCGGGAAACCGGAGCUAAUACCGGAUAAUAUUUUGAACCGCAUGGUUCAAAAGUGAAAGACGGUCUUGCUGUCACUUAUAGAUGGAUCCGCGCUGCAUUAGCUGGUAGGUAAGGUAACGGCUUACCAAGGCAACGAUGCAUAGCCGACCUGAGAGGGUGAUCGGCCACACUGGAACUGAGACACGGUCCAGACUCCUACGGGAGGCAGCAGUAGGGAAUCUUCCGCAACGGGCGAAAGCCUGACGGAGCAACGCCGCGUGAGUGAUGAAGGUCUUCGGAUCGUAAAACUCUGUUAUUAGGGAAGAACAUAUGUGUAAGUGACUGUGCACAUCUUGACGGUACCUAAUCAGAAAGCCACGGCUAACUACGUGCCAGCAGCCGCGGUAAUACGUAGGUGGCAAGCGUUAUCCGGAAUUAUUGGGCGUAAAGCGCGCGUAGGCGGUUUUUUAAGUCUGAUGUGAAAGCCCACGGCUCAACCGUGGAGGGUCAUUGGAAACUGGAAAACUUGAGUGCAGAAGAGGAAAGUGGAAUUCCAUGUGUAGCGGUGAAAUGCGCAGAGAUAUGGAGGAACACCAGUGGCGAAGGCGACUUUCUGGUCUGUAACUGACGCUGAUGUG